AUUGAACGCUGGCGGCAGGCCUAACACAUGCAAGUCGAGCGGCAGCGGAAAGUAGCUUGCUACUUUGCCGGCGAGCGGCGGACGGGUGAGUAAUGUCUGGGAAACUGCCUGAUGGAGGGGGAUAACUACUGGAAACGGUAGCUAAUACCGCAUAACGUCGCAAGACCAAAGAGGGGGACCUUCGGGCCUCUUGCCAUCAGAUGUGCCCAGAUGGGAUUAGCUAGUAGGUGGGGUAACGGCUCACCUAGGCGACGAUCCCUAGCUGGUCUGAGAGGACGACCAGCCACACUGGGACUGAGACACGGCCCAGACUCCUACGGGAGGCAGCAGUGGGGAAUUUUGGACAAUGGGCGCAAGCCUGAUCCAGCCAUUCCGCGUGCAGGAUGAAGGCCCUCGGGUUGUAAAGCUCUUUCGGACGGGAAGAAAUCUUCUGGGCUAAUACUCUGGAAGGAUGACGGUACCGUAAGAAGAAGCACCGGCUAACUACGUGCCAGCAGCCGCCGUAA
rnacentral:rRNA from 1 species